rnacentral:rRNA from 1 species
CAGCCGCGGUAAUUCCAGCUCUCAAGGUGUAUAUCGCCAUUGCUGCGGUUAAAAAGCUCGUAGUUGGAUCUGCGCCUUCGGACUCGGUCCGCCCAACGGGUGUGAACUGAGAUCCAAGGCUUAUACUGCUGGUUUUCCCUUGAUGCUCUUCACUGGGUGUCUUGGGUGGCUAGCGAGUUUACUUUGAAAAAAUUAGAGUGCUUAACACAGGCUAUCGCCUGAAUACUUGUGCAUGGAAUAAUAGAAUAAGACCACGGCUCUAUUUUAUUGGUUUUCGGAACUGUGAUAAUGGUUAAGAGGGACAGACGGGGGCAUUCGUAUCGCUGCGUGAGAGGUGAAAUUCUUGGACCGCAGCGAGACGCCCUACUGCGAAAGCAUUUGCCAAGAAUGUCUUCGUUAAUCAAGAACGAAAGUCAGAGGUUCGAAGGCGAUCAGAUACCGCCCUAGUUCUGACCGUAAACGAUGCCAACUAGCGAUCCGCCGGUGGUAAUUACGCCCCGGCGGGGAGCUUCCCGGAAACGAAAGU